rnacentral:lncRNA from 1 species
UAGUAACGUGGGCUUAUAACUAAGCAGGGCAUUAAAGUGAUUGGUUGCUUCGAUGAAGCCUCACCAGGUGAGGUUAUGGUGGUCUUGGUUUGUUCACCUUGGGUGAAAUCACACUAAGUGCGCCCGUAGGGUUCCCCAUCCACCAUGGUUGGGUAGCUAAUAAAAACUUGCUUUAGAUUGGGGUUAUGGGUUGUAACCCAAGCCCUGCAGACCAAGAUACACGUACCCUCAGCGUGCUGUCUGGUGUUUGGCAUCUCACUACACAUUCACUUUUUGUAACCCCCAUCAAGCCAUAUAUACCAUCUACCAGUUGAAAAUUGCAAAGAUGAGUCGACUAUUUAGAUCAAACUCGUGCGUAAGUUAUAAUGGUGUGUGGCAUCUCACUACACAUUCACUUUUUGUAACCCCCAUCAAGCCAUAUAUACCAUCUACCAGUUGAAAAUUGGACGAACUGAGUUACAUCUUGACUGAUUUGUUCCUCAAGCUACCCACAUCAAAGUGACGAACAUCAGUAAUCUUGCAAAGAUGAGUCGACUGUUUAGAUCAAACUCGUGCGUAAGUUAUAAUUCUAGAGCCAGUAUUAGUAAAAAUCCUGACAUAGUAAAUGAAGAAUAAAUAGAGUAUCAAUCAAAUAAAAAUAUUGAUUAUAAUGAUUGGAAUAUACCCAAGGUUCAAGGUACUGAAAAUUACAAGAAAAAAUGGUCACUCUCUGCUUUUAAAACCAUAGCUCAUAUUAAGACAGUAGAACAAGUUUAUGCACUCGGUAAAGUACACGAGACAUAUCAGUUAUUCAACAUUGAAUCAAUUAAAAAACACAGAAAAUAUUGUCAUAAUUUCUUGCAUAUUGAUUUAGUUCAAGUUGCCGUCAAGCCCUUCACAAAAAAUGAAAACUUUUUCUGUCUUAUAAGAUUUUAGUUCUAAAACAAACAGCAUCCAAGUGAUGUAAAAAUUUUGAGCAGCUGACGAUCUGUAUGUUCUUUGUGUGUAUGUGUAUGUGUGUGUAGAUAUUGGUGCUUGAGAGAAGCAUAUGUCAAAGCCAUUGGGAGUGGAGUGGCAUAUGGUUUGGACAAAGUGGAAUUUCAUCACAGUAGCUGGACAAAUAUUUGUGUACACGUUGAUGGGAAGCUUAUGAGAGGAUGGUGAUUUUGGCUUCUCGAGCUAGGGAAGGGACAUUUGGUAAGUUCAUUGGUAAUUCUCUCUUUCUUUUCCACGAGCUUUGGCUUUUUGGUGCAUAUCGCUGUGUCAUUUUGAUCGUCAUGGUUACAUAGUUAUUUUAUUGGUUAUCUAUAACAUCCACGCACUUGGUGCGAUGGCAAGUGCCUUCGCCCAUGAGCGGUAGGUCUCGGGUUCGAGACUUGGAAGCAGCCUUUCCAUAAAUUGGGGUAAGGCUAGCCGACAUUCACCUCUCCCAGACCCUGUGUAAAGCGGGAGCCUUGUGCACUGGGUACGACCGAUCUAUAACAUCCACAUUUAGUAAAAGUAACGUUGGUGCGUAGGUAAAUUGGAAUAUUUCACGACGUUAUGUGUUGAAUGAUAACAUCCAUAUGGAGGGAUAUUUGUUGUAACAAAAAUAUCAAGAAAAGGAGGAAACUUGGAGACUCGAGAACAUUAACGAUUAAAGGCUGAAACAUUGAAGACAUGUUCUGAAUUCUAACCUUGGCAGUAGUUGCAGUAGUUUCAUUUAGGUUAGGUUAAGUUAAGAGAAAGAUUAACCUAGGAUAAGUCGCUCUUUAACGUCUUAUGUAAUGGUUUUCCGUGAAAUCGCAGGUCUCCAUUGCUAGGGGUCAUAUCCAAGAUCAGCUACUGAGAGUUACGAGUUCGACGAGAAGGAAUAUCAUACAGUUCUUCAUCUUCCAAAUAUCGAAUUUGUCUCGAGAAUGGUAGAACAACUCAUUACAGUUUUACACAAAGCUAGGGACAAUUGAAGCACCGAUGACGAGGAGGAUAAAGCAUUCUCAUCACGGUUUAGUGUUUACAGCAAAAUCAAACUCACCGUAUUAUCGGUACUUCUUUGUUCCUUGAGUCCCAAGGCUUCUGGUCGAAGUGAAUAUGUAGGAGUCGUAUUAUAUUGGAAUCUGGAGAUUACUGACAUGCUUUUCAAUGGUUUAAACAUUGUAGAUAACACCUUCUGCUCAUAUUCCUUAUUUUCAAAGGGCUACUUGUUACAAAAAUGGAGAAAACCAAAUUAAAACAAACGUAAAGGAAAUAAUGGAUACCAAGGAAUUUACGUGGCUACGUUCAUGGGAAAGCGGUAUAAGCUUCUUUUCUUAUGUCGAAUAACGUUACAACGAGAGUAUACUUAAUCUCUAAGGCUACAGUGUCUCGCCAAGAGACGCUUGGUAAGUGGGAAGCUAGUUAUUAAUUAAUAAUUACUAACUCCCACAUCGGACAAAAAUCAAAUAUUAAAUAUGUUUAAAAGGAUUUACACAAUGCUAUGAUACUGCCGAGCCUAGUAGCGUGAGCUUGUAACUGAGCAAGACAUUAAAGUGUUUGUUUGCCUCGAUGAAGCCUAACCAAGUGAGACUAUGGUGGUCUUGGUCUAUUCACCCUUACGUGAAAUCACACAAACAAAGUGCGUCCUUAAGCCGCGUACCAUGAUAUACGUACCCUCAGCGUGCUAUCUGGUGUGACAUCUCAUUACACAUUCACUUUUUAUAACCCACAUCAAAGUGAUUAAUGUCAUGCAAUCUUUCUACGUCGUCCUGAAUUCACCCCGAUGGUGUAAAGUGUCUCUUGGAAUAAAAAUUAAAAACAAAUCAUGCAAUAUUUCAACUAGUCCUAUACCAUCUACUAGUUGAAAAUCUUAGUGAUGAAUAUCGUGCAACCUUUCUACAUCGUCCUAACUUCACCCCCAUAGUAAAAUGUGUUGUAAUAAAAAUUUUAAAAAAAAAUCAUGCAUUAUUUUAAUUGGUCAUAUACUAUCUACCAGUUGAAAAUCAAAUUACCAAAUGGACAAACUAACAAAUUAAGUAUGAAACUACGAAUAAUAUUAAUUGGAAAACAAUAAACAAGACUGCUGCCAAGACGACUACAUCUUGAUUGACUUGUAAUAUAAAAAAAAUCAUGCAAUAUUUCAGCCAGUCAUAUAUCAUCUACUAGUUGAAAAUCAGAGUACUAAACGGACGAACAAAGUAUGAAACUACGAAUACUAUUAACAGAAAAGCAAUAAACAAGAAUACCAAGACGGCUACAAACUAUAAAGACACUCAUAUCUAUAGAGAAGAGAAUGUCUCAGCUGAUCACAUGGCUGACUUAGGUUAUGGCUUCCAUUGGUCAUCAUGUUUUGGUUUCUCCUCCUAUCACUGCUACUAAUUUUUUGCAGUUUCUGAUAUUAUUGGCAAUGUCAUUCAUAGGGUUGUCCUUGCCUAGGUUUUUGUUGUUUUGCUUGCGCUUUGCCCUCCUCUAUACCAAUAAAAAAAAUUGUUUAAAUUCUAAAUUUCUAAUGAGGUUAAUUUCUACUUUAUUACCUUCAAGUUCGCAAAAUCGUAUUUUACUACACUUAUUUUCCGUCUCACUUCCAUACUUUUAAGUUCAAUUUUGCGCUAUUUUAAUACUUCUAUUAAUUUUUAUGUCAACUCAUUCGUUAAUUGAUGAUCUUACAUUACUCAUUGCUCUAGCCCACCAAAUUUCAGACACCUAGAGUUUCAACUUAAAAUAAAUAGGAGUAAUUAGGUUUUCAUCCUUAUUUUUACUACUCUAUUGAUUAAAACCUUAUUACUUUUCAAUUUUUGAUCAAGGUCCUUUGUAUUAAUAAUAUAAUUAAUUAUUUCAAUAAUAAAAUAUUUUUUAUUUCUAAAUAUAUUCAUUUAAUAUUAAAAAUGUUACAAUUAGUAUAUUUAUAUUUAUGGCUAAAUUUUUUAUCAUAUAUUUUUAUUUUUAGUUUGUACCCAUUUUUAAUUUGCAACCCUUUUUUAAUUUGUACCAAUUUUCCUUUCAGUUUUUAAUUUGUACCCAUAUAUUAAUUUCUUUUUGUGCCCAUAUUUUUUAAAGUUUUAUUUGUAUUGUACCCAUAUUUUUUUUAUUUUUUGUACCCAUUUUUUUUUUGCUAAAUGUACCAAUUUUGAAGAAUGUACCCAUGUUUUGAUACAAUAAUUUUUUGGUUAUUUUUUAUGAAUGUACCCAUGUUUACACACACACACACACAAUAGUAUAUUUAUAUUUUAAUAUUUUUAAUCCCACAAAUUAUGGUUUUUUAUUUAAAAUCUCAUUACUAUAAACAACUAUAAAUUUUAAUUUUUAAUUAAAAAAAUAUAGUAACGUACAUAGAAAUAAAUUAUCAAUUAAUUUCAGGGACUUGGAUCAAAAAUUGAAAACCAACAAGGUUUCAGUCAAAGACUAUUCAUAACUAGGGACCGCAUCCAAAGUCUCCCAAAUAAAUAUUACAAAGUAAUUAAUUAAGAAAAAUUUGAAGAAAAAAAAAAAAAAAAAAGGCCUCUCAUUCUCUUCCCCUCUCUCUUCAACUCCCACUAUGCGACUGACUUCUCCCUCCUCUGUUUCUUCUCCAGAAUCCACCGCCACCGAUGAAGAGGAGGAUAAAGCAUUCUCAUCACUAUUUACAGAAAUCAAACUCUCCGUAUUAUCGGUACUUUUUUGUUCCUUGAGUCCCAAGGCUUCUGGUCGAAGUAAAUAUGUAGGAGUCGUGCAAGGUGUGUAAAGGAUACUGGAAUCUGGAUAUUACUGACAUGCUUUUCAAUGGUUUAAACAUUGUAAUUUGUAGAUAUAACACCUUCUGCUCAAAUUCCCUCAUUCUCAAGGGGCUACUCGUCACAAAAAUGGAGAAAACCAAAUAAGAUAAACGUAAAGGAAAUAAUGGAUACCAAGGAGUUUACGUGGCUGCGUUCAUGGGAAAGCGGUAUAAGCUUCUUUUCUUACGUCGAAUAAGGGUACAACGAGAGAAUACUUAAUCUCUAAGGCUACUGUCUCACCUGGAAAUUAAUAUGAGAAGAGCUUUCUAUUCAUCACUCUCUGUUGGAUUUUGAAUUUCACAGUUGGUAAGUUGAAAGCUAGUUAUUAAAUAUAUAAUGGCUAAAGUCCCACAUCGGACAGAGAUCAAAUAUUAAAUAUAUUUAAAAGGGUUUACACAAUGAUAUGAUAUUGCCGAGCCUAGUAGCGUGGGUUUGUAACUAAGCAAGGCAUUAAAGUGAUUGGUUGUAUCGGUGAUGCCUAACCAGGUGAGGUUAUGGUGGUCUUAGUCUGUUCACCUUAGGUGAAAUCAUACAAUGUGCACCCUUAAGCCCUCGGGUUAGUAGGGUUUCCCAUCCACCAUGGUUGGGUAGCUAAUAAAAACUUGCUUUAGAUUGGGGUUAUGGGUUCCAACCCAAGCCCCGCAGACCAAGAUAUGCCUACCCUCAGCGUGCUGCCUGGUGUAUGGCAUCCAACUACACAUUCACUUUUUGGGACAAGUGUGGAAUCUCCUCCGUAUAUAUAUUGCAAUUUUUCAGCCAUCCACAUACCAUCUUUCAUUUUUUAUUUUAUUUUUAUCGAUGAAAGAGUCGGGAUUAGAAUUUAAAACCUCUUUCCAACUUUGAUGUUGUGUUUCGAUGAGUGGUUACCAAGUAUCAAGAAGGUGAGUGGUAAAGCAACGGCACAAUAGUUAAGAGAUUCCACUCCUCAUAACCUAGAAGACAUUCAAUGCUAUAACAUCAUUGAGCCUAGUAACGUGAGCUUGUAACUAAGCAAGGCAUUAAAGAGCUUGGUUGCCUUGAUGAAACCUAACUAGGUGAGUUUAUGACGGUCUUGUUCUGUUCAUCCUUGGGUGAAAUCACACAUAAUGCGCCCUUAAGCCCUCAGGUUAGUGGGGUCCCCCAUCCACCAUGGUUGGGUAGCUAAUAAAAACUUGCUUUAGAUUGGGAUUAUGGGUUGUAACCCAAGCCCAGCAGAGCAAAGAUAUGCAUACCCUCAACGUGCUAUCUGGUGUGUGGCAUCUCACUACACAUUCACUUUUUGUAACCCACAUCAAAGUGAUGUAUAUCAUUCAAUCUUUCUUCGUCGUCCUGAGUUCACCCCUAUGGUGUAAAUUGUCUCUUGCAAUAAGAAAUUAAAAAAUAUCAUGCAAUAUAAUUUUCAACUAGACAUAUACCAUCUACCAGUGGAAAAUCAAAGUGAUGAAUAUCAUGCAACUAUGUCGUCCUCACUUCACCCCCAUAGUGUAAAAUGUCUCUUGUAAUAAAAAAUUUAAAAAAAUCAUGCAAUAUUUUAACUAGUCAUAUACCAUAUACCAGUUGAAAAUCAGAUUACCAAACGAGCAGAUUAACAAAUUAAGUAUGAAACUAUGAAUAAUAUUAACUGGAAAACAAUAAACAAGAAUGCCGAGACGACUACAUACUGAGGACUACAUCUUGAUUGACUUGUAAUAAAAAAAAAUAAAGCAAUAUUUGGCCAGUCAUAUACCAUCUACCAGUUGAAAAUCAAAGUACUAAACGGAUGAACAAAGUAUGAAACUACGAAUACUCUUAACAGAAAACAAUAAACAAGAAUGCCAAGAUGACUACAAAGUAUGAAGACACUCCUAUCUAUAGAGAACACAUGGCUGACCUGGGUUAUGGCUUCCCUUGGUCAUCAUGUUUUUGUUUCUCCUCCUGUCAUUGAUACUAAUUUUUUGCAGUUUUUGAUAUUAUAGGCAAUGUCCUUCAUAGGGUCGUCCUUGCCUAGGUUUUUCUUGUUUUGCUUGCUGUGGGCUUUUGCCCUCCUCUGUACUAAAAAAAAAACUUGUUUAAAUUCUAAAGUUCUAAUGAGGAUAAUUUCUAUUUUAUUACUCUUAAGUUCGCAAAAUCUCAUUUUACUCCACUUAUUUAUUUUUUGACCCACUUCCAUACCUUAAGUUUAAAUUUUCUUCUACUUUAAUACUUCUGUUAAUUUUGCUAUCAACUCAUUCGUUAACUGGUGACUUGACAUUACUUAUUGCUCUAGCCCACCAAAUUUCUGACACUUGGAGUUUGAACUUAAAUACAUAUUACAAAUUAAUUAAGAAAAAUUUGAAAUAAAAAAGGAAGGGAAUUAAAAAAAGGUCUCACUCUCUUCCCUUCUCUCUUCAACUCCCACUAUGCGACUUCUCCCUCCUCGGUCUCUUCUCCAUAAUCCACCGCCACCGAUGAAGAGGAGGAUACAGCAUUCUCAUCACUAUUUACAGAAAAAAAAAAAAAUCAAACUCACCGUACUAUCGGUACUUUUUUGUUCCUUGAGUCCCAAGGCUUCUGGUCGAAGUAAAUAUGUAGGAGUCGUGCAAGGUGUGUGAAGGAUAUUGGAAUCUGGAGAUUACUGACAUGCUUUUCAAUGGUUUAAACAUUUUAAUUUGUAGAUAUAACACCUUCUGCUCAAAUUCCUUCAUUUUCAAAGGGCUACUCGUCACAAAAAUGGAGAAAACCAAAUAAGAUAAACGUAAAGGAAAUAAUGCGUACCAAGGAAUUUACGUGGCUACGUUCAUGGGAAAGCGGUAUAAGCUUCUUUUCUUAUAUCUCACCUGGAAAUUAAUAUGAGAAGAGCUUUCUAUUCAUCACUCUCUGUUGGAUUUUGAAUUUCACAGUUGGUAAGUUGGAAGCUAGUUAUUAAGUAGAUAAUUGCUAAAGUCCCACAUCGGACAGAGAUCAAAUAUUAAAUAUGUUUAAAAGGGUUUACACAAGGAUAUGAUAUUGCCGAGUCUAGUAGCGUGGACUUGUAACUAAGCAGGGCAUUAAAGUGAUUGGUUGUAUCAGUGAUGCCUAACCAGGUGAGGUUAUGGUGGUCUUAGUCUGUUCACUUUGGGUGAAAUCACACAACGUGCGCCCUUAAGCCCUCGGGUUAGUAGGAUUUCCCAUCCACCAUAGUUGGGUAGCUAAUAAAAAAUCAAUCUUUAGAUUGGGGUUAUGGGUCCUAACCCAAGCCCCGCAGACCAAGAUAUGCCUACCCUUAGCGUGCUGCCUGGUGUAUGGCAUCCAACUACACAUUCACUUUUUGGGAGAGGGGAAAGAGGUAUAGAAUCUUUAACCAACCAGCAUCAACAAAGUGAUAUUAUGCAACUAAGAAGUGGGAACUGGAUCCUCCUGAGCAGAACGUCCACACCGUAAAAGGUAACCUUGGAGUGUAAAUAUACGUAUGUAACAUUUUUUUACAAAAUGAGCACAAGUGUAGAAUCUCCUCCAUAUAUAUAUUGCAAUUUUUCAGCCAUCCACAUACCAUCUUUCAUUUUUUUUUUUUUUUUAUCGAUGAAAGAGUCGGGAUUAGAAUUUAAAACCUCUUUCCAACUUUGAUGUUGUGUUUAGAUGAGUGGUUACCAAGUAUCAAGAAAGUGAGUGGUAAAGCAACGGCACAAUAGUUGGGGGAUUCCACUCCUCAUAACCUGGAAGACAUUCAAUGAAACAAACGAAAGCCUAAUAUUAUGAUCAUCUGGAAAACACUUGCGCUGGAGGCAGCAAACUUGCAACGCAUAUUUACCAUUGGAGCAAGGUUCAA